UACGUAGGGGGCAAGCGUUAUCCGGAUUUACUGGGUGUAAAGGGAGCGUAGACGGCAUGGCAAGUCAGAUGUGAAAGCCCGGGGCUCAACCCCGGGACUGCAUUUGAAACUGUCAGGCUGGAGUGCAGGAGAGGUAAGUGGAAUUCCUAGUGUAGCGGUGAAAUGCGUAGAUAUUAGGAGGAACCCCAGUGGCGAAGGCGGCUUACUUGACUGUAACUGACGUUGAGGCUCGAAAGCGUGGGGAGCAAACAGG
rnacentral:rRNA from 1 species